UACGAAGGGGGCUAGCGUUGUUCGGAAUUACUGGGCGUAAAGCGCACGUAGGCGGAUCCUUAAGUCAGGGGUGAAAUCCCGAGGCUCAACCUCGGAACUGCCUUUGAUACUGGGGAUAUCGAGUCCGGGAGAGGUGAGUGGAACUGCGAGUGUAGAGGUGAAAUUCGUAGAUAUUCGCAAGAACACCAGUGGCGAAGGCGGCUCACUGGCCCGGAACUGACGCUGAGACGCGAAAGCGUGGGGAGCGAACAGG
rnacentral:rRNA from 1 species